rnacentral:rRNA from 1 species
GCUUACGGCCAUACCACCCUGAACACGCCCGAUUCUCGUCCGAUCUCGGAAGCUAAGCAGGGUCGGGCCUGGUUAGUACUUGGGAUGGGAGACCGCCUGGGAAUACCAGGUGCUGUAAGCU